GUGGAUUAGAUACCCUAGUAGUCCACGCCCUAAACGGUGCAUACUAGGUCUUGGAGGAUUCGACCCCUUCAGGGCCCAAGCUAACGCGUUAAGUAUGCCGCCUGAGGACUACGGCCGCAAGGCUAAAACUCAAAGGAAUUGACGGGGGCCCGCACAAGCGGUGGAGUAUGUGGCUUAAUUCGAUGCAACGCGAAGAACCUUACCAGGCCUUGACAUGCAAUUGACCGCACCUGAAAGGGUGCUUUCCUUCGGGACAGUUGCACAGGUGCUGCACGGCCGUCGUCAGCU
rnacentral:rRNA from 1 species